rnacentral:rRNA from 1 species
UGGGGAAUUUUGGACAAUGGGCGCAAGCCUGAUCCAGCCAUGCCGCGUGCGGGAAGAAGGCCUUCGGGUUGUAAACCGCUUUGUCAGGGAAGAAAUCUUCUGAGUUAAUACCUCGGGAGGAUGACGGUACCUGAAGAAUAAGCACCGGCUAACUACGUGCCAGCAGCCGCGGUAAUACGUAGGGUGCAAGCGUUAAUCGGAAUUACUGGGCGUAAAGCGUGCGCAGGCGGUUUUGUAAGACAGAGGUGAAAUCCCCGGGCUCAACCUGGGAACUGCCUUUGUGACUGCAAGGCUUGAGUGCGGCAGAGGGGGAUGGAAUUCCGCGUGUAGCAGUGAAAUGCGUAGAUAUGCGGAGGAACACCGAUGGCGAAGGCAAUCCCCUGGGCCUGCACUGACGCUCAUGCACGAAAGCGUGGGGAGCAAAACAGGAUUAGAUACCCUGGUAGUCCACGCCCUAAAACGAUGUCAACUGGUUGUUGGG